AAGCGUUGUUCGGAUUUAUUGGGCGUAAAGCGCGUGUAGGCGGUUUUAUAAGUCUGAUGUGAAAGCCCCGGGCUCAACCUGGGAAGUGCAUUGGAUACUGUAAGACUUGAAUACGGGAGAGGGCAGUGGAAUUCCUGGUGUAGGAGUGAAAUCCGUAGAUAUCAGGAGGAACACCGGUGGCGAAGGCGGCUGCCUGGACCGAUAUUGACGCUGAGACGCGAAAGCGUGGGUAGCAAACAGGAUUAGAUACCCUGGUAGUCCACGCUGUAAACGAUGAGUACUAGGUGUUGCGGGUAUUGACCCCUGCAGUGCC
rnacentral:rRNA from 1 species